AACUCAAGAAUUGACGGGGCCCGCACAAGCAGAGGAGCAUGUGGCUUAAUUCGAUGCACGCGAAGAACCUACCUGGUUUGACAUGCAGCUGCACGGACCGUGAAAGCGUCCUCCUUCGAGGUGCUGCACAGGUGCUGCAUGGCUGUCGUCAGUUCGUGCCGUGAGGUGUUUGGUUAAGUCCACCAACGAACGCAACCCCUGUGGACAGUUGCCAGCGGGUAAAGCCGGGAACUCUGUCCAUACUGCCCGUUUACGCGGGAGGAAGGUGGGGAUGACGUCAAGUCAGUAUGGCCCUUACAUCCAGGGCUGCACACGUGCUACAAUGGCCGGUACAGAGGGACCCCAAGCCGCAAGGCGGAGGAAACCCCUUAGAGCCGGCCCCAGUUCAGAUCGGGGUCUGCAACCCGACCCCGUGAAGUCGGAUUUGCUAGUAACGGCGCAUCAGCUACGGCGCCGUGAAUGCGUUCCCGGGCCUUGUACACACCGCCCGUCACAUCAUGAAAGCCGUCUGCACCCGAAGUCUGGCGUAUGUCAGCCUAAGGUGUGGGUGGUGAUUGGGAUG
rnacentral:rRNA from 1 species